AUUGAACGCUGGCGGCAGGCCUAACACAUGCAAGUCGAGCGAGCGGCGGACGGGUGAGUAAUGUCUGGGAAACUGCCUGAUGGAGGGGGAUAAAUACUGGAAACGGUAGCUAAUACCGCAUAACAUCAGAUGUGCCCAGCGGGGAUUAGCUAGUAGGUGGGGUAACGGCUCACCUAGGAGACGAUCCCUAGCUGGUCUGAGAGGAUGACCAGCCACACGGGAACUGAGAUACGGUCCAGACUCCUACGGGAGGCAGCAGUGGGGAAUAUUGCACAAUGGGAGCAAGCCUGAUGCAGCCAUGCCGCGUGUGUGAAGAAGGCCUGCGGGUUGUAAAGCACUUUCAGCGGGGAGGCGUUACCCACAGAAGAAGCACCGGCUAACUCCGUGCCAGCAGCCGCGGUAAUUC
rnacentral:rRNA from 1 species